rnacentral:rRNA from 1 species
UCCAUAAAUAAUUUUCUUAAACAGCUAAGCUAAGCAGGGUUGAGCCUGGUCAGUACCUGGAUGGGAGACCUCCUCUGGAAAACUAAGGUUGCUGAUGGAA